rnacentral:rRNA from 1 species
GAUGAACGCUAGCGGCAGGCUUAAUACAUGCAAGACGAACGGUAAGUUUGGUAGCAAUACUAGACCUAGAGUGUCGUACGGGUGCGUAACACGUAUGCAACCUACCUUGUACAGGAGUAUAGCUCGGGGAAACUCGAAUUAACCCUCCAUAAUGUAGCGGAGAGGCAUCUCUCUGCUACUAAAACUGAGGUGGUACAAGAUGGGCAUGCGAUUGAUUAGUUAGUUGGCAGUGUAACGGACUACCAAGACGAUGAUCAAUAGGGGACCUGAGAGGGUGAUCCCCCACACUGGCACUGAGAUACGGGCCAGACUCCUACGGGAGGCAGCAGUAGGGAAUAUUGGACAAUGGGUGAGAGCCUGAUCCAGCCAUGCCGCGUGCAGGAAGAAGGCGUUAUGCGUUGUAAACUGCUUUUGCCAGGGGAUAAAAAGACCGUGCGCGGUUAAUUGAAGGUACCUGGUGAAUAAGCCACGGCUAACUACGUGC